rnacentral:rRNA from 1 species
GGGUUGUGAGGUUAAGCGACUAAGCGUACACGGUGGAUGCCCUGGCAGUCAGAGGCGAUGAAGGACGUGCUAAUCUGCGAUAAGCGUCGGUGAGGUGAUAUGAACCGUUAUAACCGGCGAUUUCCGAAUGGGGAAACCCAGUGUGUUUCGACACACUAUCAUUAACUGAAUCCAUAGGUUAAUGAGGCGAACCGGGGGAACUGAAACAUCUAAGUACCCCGAGGAAAAGAAAUCAACCGAGAUUCCCCCAGUAGCGGCGAGCGAACGGGGAGGAGCCCAGAGCCUGAAUCAGUGUGUGUGUUAGUGGAAGCGUCUGGAAAGGCGCGCGAUACAGGGUGACAGCCCCGUACACAAAAAUGCACAUAUUGUGAGCUCGAUGAGUAGGGCGGGACACGUGGUAUCCUGUCUGAAUAUGGGGGGACCAUCCUCCAAGGCUAAAUACUCCUGACUGACCGAUAGUGAACCAGUACCGUGAGGGAAAGGCGAAAAGAACCCCGGCGAGGGGAGUGAAAAAGAACCUGAAACCGUGUACGUACAAGCAGUGGGAGCCUCUUUAUGGGGUGACUGCGUACCUUUUGUAUAAUGGGUCAGCGACUUAUAUUCUGUAGCAAGGUUAACCGAAUAGGGGAGCCGAAGGGAAACCGAGUCUUAACUGGGCGUUAAGUUGCAGGGUAUAGACCCGAAACCCGGUGAUCUAGCCAUGGGCAGGUUGAAGGUUGGGUAACACUAACUGGAGGACCGAACCGACUAAUGUUGAAAAAUUAGCGGAUGACUUGUGGCUGGGGGUGAAAGGCCAAUCAAACCGGGAGAUAGCUGGUUCUCCCCGAAAGCUAUUUAGGUAGCGCCUCGUGAAUUCAUCUCCGGGGGUAGAGCACUGUUUCGGCAAGGGGGUCAUCCCGACUUACCAACCCGAUGCAAACUGCGAAUACCGGAGAAUGUUAUCACGGGAGACACACGGCGGGUGCUAACGUCCGUCGUGAAGAGGGAAACAACCCAGACCGCCAGCUAAGGUCCCAAAGUCAUGGUUAAGUGGGAAACGAUGUGGGAAGGCCCAGACAGCCAGGAUGUUGGCUUAGAAGCAGCCAUCAUUUAAAGAAAGCGUAAUAGCUCACUGGUCGAGUCGGCCUGCGCGGAAGAUGUAACGGGGCUAAACCAUGCACCGAAGCUGCGGCAGCGACACUAUGUGUUGUUGGGUAGGGGAGCGUUCUGUAAGCCUGUGAAGGUGGCCUGUGAGGGUUGCUGGAGGUAUCAGAAGUGCGAAUGCUGACAUAAGUAACGAUAAAGCGGGUGAAAAGCCCGCUCGCCGGAAGACCAAGGGUUCCUGUCCAACGUUAAUCGGGGCAGGGUGAGUCGACCCCUAAGGCGAGGCCGAAAGGCGUAGUCGAUGGGAAACAGGUUAAUAUUCCUGUACUUGGUGUUACUGCGAAGGGGGGACGGAGAAGGCUAUGUUGGCCGGGCGACGGUUGUCCCGGUUUAAGCGUGUAGGCUGGUUUUCCAGGCAAAUCCGGAAAACCAAGGCUGAGGCGUGAUGACGAGGCACUACGGUGCUGAAGCGACAAAUGCCCUGCUUCCAGGAAAAGCCUCUAAGCAUCAGGUAACAUCAAAUCGUACCCCAAACCGACACAGGUGGUCAGGUAGAGAAUACCAAGGCGCUUGAGAGAACUCGGGUGAAGGAACUAGGCAAAAUGGUGCCGUAACUUCGGGAGAAGGCACGCUGAUAUGUAGGUGAAGCGACUUGCUCGUGGAGCUGAAAUCAGUCGAAGAUACCAGCUGGCUGCAACUGUUUAUUAAAAACACAGCACUGUGCAAACACGAAAGUGGACGUAUACGGUGUGACGCCUGCCCGGUGCCGGAAGGUUAAUUGAUGGGGUUAGCGGUAACGCGAAGCUCUUGAUCGAAGCCCCGGUAAACGGCGGCCGUAACUAUAACGGUCCUAAGGUAGCGAAAUUCCUUGUCGGGUAAGUUCCGACCUGCACGAAUGGCGUAAUGAUGGCCAGGCUGUCUCCACCCGAGACUCAGUGAAAUUGAACUCGCUGUGAAGAUGCAGUGUACCCGCGGCAAGACGGAAAGACCCCGUGAACCUUUACUAUAGCUUGACACUGAACAUUGAGCCUUGAUGUGUAGGAUAGGUGGGAGGCUUUGAAGUGUGGACGCCAGUCUGCAUGGAGCCGACCUUGAAAUACCACCCUUUAAUGUUUGAUGUUCUAACGUUGGCCCGUAAUCCGGGUUGCGGACAGUGUCUGGUGGGUAGUUUGACUGGGGCGGUCUCCUCCUAAAGAGUAACGGAGGAGCACGAAGGUUGGCUAAUCCUGGUCGGACAUCAGGAGGUUAGUGCAAUGGCAUAAGCCAGCUUGACUGCGAGCGUGACGGCGCGAGCAGGUGCGAAAGCAGGUCAUAGUGAUCCGGUGGUUCUGAAUGGAAGGGCCAUCGCUCAACGGAUAAAAGGUACUCCGGGGAUAACAGGCUGAUACCGCCCAAGAGUUCAUAUCGACGGCGGUGUUUGGCACCUCGAUGUCGGCUCAUCACAUCCUGGGGCUGAAGUAGGUCCCAAGGGUAUGGCUGUUCGCCAUUUAAAGUGGUACGCGAGCUGGGUUUAGAACGUCGUGAGACAGUUCGGUCCCUAUCUGCCGUGGGCGCUGGAGAACUGAGGGGGGCUGCUCCUAGUACGAGAGGACCGGAGUGGACGCAUCACUGGUGUUCGGGUUGUCAUGCCAAUGGCACUGCCCGGUAGCUAAAUGCGGAAGAGAUAAGUGCUGAAAGCAUCUAAGCACGAAACUUGCCCCGAGAUGAGUUCUCCCUGACUCCUUGAGAGUCCUGAAGGAACGUUGAAGACGACGACGUUGAUAGGCCGGGUGUGUAAGCGCAGCGAUGCGUUGAGCUAACCGGUACUAAUGAACCGUGAGGCUUAA